rnacentral:miRNA from 1 species
CAUUGCUUCUCGGCCUUUUGGCUAAGAUCAAGUGUA